GACGUAGGGCGCGAGCGUUGUCCGGAUUUAUUGGGCGUAAAGAGCUCGUAGGCGGUUUGUCGCGUCUGCUGUGAAAACCUGAGGCUCAACCUCGGGCUUGCAGUGGGUACGGGCAGACUAGAGUGUGGUAGGGGAGACUGGAAUUCCUGGUGUAGCGGUGGAAUGCGCAGAUAUCAGGAGGAACACCGAUGGCGAAGGCAGGUCUCUGGGCCAUUACUGACACUGAGAAGCGAAAGCAUGGGGAGCGAACAGG
rnacentral:rRNA from 1 species